GACGAACGCUGGCGGCGUGCUUAACACAUGCAAGUCGAACGAUGAAGCCGGAGCUUGCUCUGGUGAAUUAGUGGCGAACGGGUGAGUAACACGUGAGUAACCUGCCCUUGACUCUGGGAUAACUGCUAGAAAUGGUAGCUAAUGCCGGAUACGACCCUCGGAGGCAUCUCCAGGGGGUGGAAAGAAUUUCGGUCAAGGAUGGACUCGCGGCCUAUCAGCUAGUUGGUGAGGUAACGGCUCAACAAGGCGACGACGGGUAGCCGGACUGAGAGGGUGACCGGCCACACUGGGACUGAGACACGGCCCAGACUCCUACGGGAGGCAGCAGUGGGGAAUAUUGCACAAUGGGCGCAAGCCUGAUGCAGCAACGCCGCGUGAGGGAUGACGGCCUUCGGGUUGUAAACCUCUUUUAGUAGGGAAGAAGCGAAAGUGACGGUACCUGCAGAAAAAGCACCGGCUAACUACGUGCCAGCCGCCGCAGUAA
rnacentral:rRNA from 1 species